rnacentral:rRNA from 1 species
UACGUAGGGUGCGAGCGUUAUCCGGAUUUACUGGGCAUAAAGCGCAUGUAGGCGGUUACUUAAGUCAGAUGUAAAAUGUUUCGGCUCAACCGAAGUAUGCAUUUGAAACUGGGUUUCUGGAGAUUGGUAGAGGAAAGCGGAACUCACGGUGUAGCGGUGAAAUGCGUAGAUAUCGUGAGGAACACCAGUUGCGAAGGCGGCUUUCUGGACCAAAUCUGACGCUGAGAUGCGAAAGCGUGGGGAGCAAACGGG